AGGAAUGUAGUUCAAUGGUAGAGUACUUGCCUCACAAGCAUGAGGGUCUGGGUUCAAUCCUCAACACUACAA
rnacentral:tRNA from 1 species